rnacentral:rRNA from 1 species
CUACGUGCCAGCAGCCGCGGUAAUACGGAAGGUCCAGGCGUUAUCCGGAUUUAUUGGGUUUAAAGGGAGCGUAGGCGGAUUAUUAAGUCAGUGGUGAAAGACGGUGGCUCAACCAUCGUUAGCCAUUGAAACUGGUAGUCUUGAGUGCAGACAGGGAUGCUGGAACUCGUGGUGUAGCGGUGAAAUGCUUAGAUAUCACGAUGAACUCCGAUUGCGAAGGCAGCUUACUAAGGUACAACUGACGCUGAAGCACGAAAGCGUGGGUAUCAAACAGGAUUAGAUACCCUGGUAGUCCACGCAGUAAACGAUGAUAACUGGGCGUAUGCGAUAUACAGUAUGCUCCUAAGCGAAAGCGUUAAGUUAUCCACCUGGGGAGUACGCCGGCAACGGUGAAACUCAAAGGAAUUGACGGGGGCCCGCACAAGCGGUGGAGCAUGUGGUUUAAUUCGAAGCAACGCGAAGAACCUUACCAGGUCUUGACAUCCCUCUGACCGCUCUAGAGAUAGAGUUUUCCUUCGGGACA